rnacentral:tRNA from 1 species
UCCCUUGUGGCUUAGGGGGUAAAGAAUCCACCUGCAAUACGGAAGACCUGGGUUCAAUUCCUGGUUUGGGAA